rnacentral:sRNA from 1 species
CGACUGUGCUUAUCACCAGAAAACCGUCUUCAGCUUCCUCAAGCAAGGCCAUGGUGGUGAGGUUAUCUCAGCCGUGUUUGACCGGGAACAGCAUACCCUCAACCUCCCAGCAGUCAACAGCAUCACCUACGUCCUCCGCUUCCUGGAGAAACUCUGCCACAACCUUCGUAGUGACAAUCUGUUUGGCAACCAGCCCUUUACACAGACUCACUUGUCACUCACUGCCACAGAGUACAGCCACAGCCACGACAGGUGGACCUUCUUGGGACCACAGCUUAAACUUCAAGGUGUCAGGAAGACCUCCAAGGCUCUCCUCAUCCAAAAGAGAUGCACCUGAUACUGUCCAUCUUAAUAUCCUGUUUCUUUCCUUUGUUAUAAUUAUAAUAGUUGCUAAUAUUUUUAGCUACCUGUAUUUUGUCAUCUGCCUCACUAUAGUAAAUGUUCCAUGAGGAUAGAGACAAUAUCUUUUUCACCAUUCUCAGUAUCCAUCAUCCUAACUGUCACAUGGUGAAACCUUUGUCCUGGGGAAUAGUCUGGCCCGCUCCUUGGAACCACACUCAGACUCAAUGGACUCUGCCUCAAAUCCCACCAACCUUGUCAGCACCUCCCAAAGGCACCGGCCCUUGCUUUCAUCCUGUGGCCUCCCACCAAGCACUGCCUCAGCUGUGCGCAGGCUAUGCUCCAAGG